GACGGAGGGUGCUAGCGUUGUUCGGAAUCACUGGGCGUAAAGGGCGCGUAGGCGGCCUUGGCAGUCGGCUUGUGAAAGCCCGGGGCUCAACCCCGGAGGUGCGGCCGAAACACCAGGGCUGGAGGCCGGAAGAGGAGGGUGGAAUACCCAGUGUAGAGGUGAAAUUCGUAGAUAUUGGGUGGAACACCGGUGGCGAAAGCGGCUCUCUGGUCCGGACCUGACGCUGAGGCGCGAAAGCGUGGGGAGCAAACAGGAUUAGAAACCCCCGUAGUCC
rnacentral:rRNA from 1 species